UACAGAGGGUGCGAGCGUUAUCCGGAAUUACUGGGCGUAAAGCGCACGUAGUCGGCUUUGCAAGUCGGGUGUGAAAUCCCCGGGCUCAACCUGGGAACUGCAUCCGAGACUGCAUUGCUAGAGUAUGGGAGAGGGAAGCGGAAUUUCUGGUGUAGCAGUGAAAUGCGUAGAUAUCGUAAGGAAGACCAGUGGCGAAGGCGGGUCUCUGGACAGUUCCUGACGCUGAGGCACGAAGGCCAGGGGAGCAAACGGG
rnacentral:rRNA from 1 species